CGGCAGCAUCCCGGGGGCUCCGCGUGCAGGGGCGCCAAAGGGGCCCCCCCGGGACCGCGCCCCCCCCGGCGCCCCCCGCUCCUCGGGGCGCGGCAGCCCCCGGCGCUUCCCCGGCCCCCGGCGGUGCCGCGGCUUCGGGGGGCGGCAGGGGCCGAGGCCGGGGAGAGGGAGGUUCCCUGCUCCAAAAGGGACCGAGGGGAGCGACUGUGCGGUGGCUGCCCCGGAGAGCCUCCAACCGGCGGCUGAAUUUCUUGGUAUUUCCACUUCCAGAGCUCGAAGGGCACGAUGCAGUAGGUGCAAGAUAUUUCCUUUCUUUCUGAUUUGCAUUCCCUGUGGGAUCUCCGCUGGAAAAAAAGUUCCAAUACCCAAGGAUUCAUCAGAUGGAGCAUUUGCGAGUGUGGGCCGAUACUCAUGUUGGCAAUGGUGCUAAUACAUGCUGCUCCCAGCACUGGCAUGCUAGGACAGCGAGCAUUUCUGGGCCAGUUUGUGAAUGCACAGCUAGGAGCACAAAGGUGCUGGCAAAGAUGUUCCUUGUUUGAAUAAGCUAACAAGCCUACACAAUUCCUUCCCAGUCCUUUUCACAUCAGGAUUGAGCAGCAGACAGCAGGCAAAGCAGAGUGGUAGCCGUCUGUGCUGGGGGCUCCUGGGGCUGCCCCAGGCUCGGGGCAGCAGCCUCGCACUGGGGCCUUGCUUGAGAGCUGCUCCCACAAGCCCUGCAUGUGUGCAGCAGCAGUGUGUGUGUCCUUGCACACCAGCCUGCACUCUGGGUCCUGCUCUCCAUCUACUGUGUUCCAGUUUCCCAGACCUGCUGUUGUUUUGGUGCAUUUCUGCCACCGUUUUUAUUAAGAAAGCACAUUUCUGUACCUUGUGAGUGCCAGUGGGAAGAGCUAGGAAUGUUGCAGGUAUCCGGCACAUAAUGUAAAAGGAAGGCAUUUUUCAGGAAAUUAAGAGUUCUGGUGAGCAGAUUAAUAGGUGUUAAUGAGAAGGACCUCAUUGUUGGCAUUGAUUUAGCCAUGUUUACCUGGUUCAGAAAUUUGUUUCUGGUGAGACAAAGCAAGGUGUGCACAAAGGGAGUAUGCAGCAGUCUCCGUUGUGAAAUUGCACUCCCUCCCCAGAGCCCUUUUGCCGGGCUGUUAUCACAUGUGCUGUAUUAUUGGAUUUCUCCAAAGUCUCCCUUUAUCCUUAUUAAUGCUGUGAAUGUUGUAGCAAGGAGUGAUAUGAUCUAACAUUGGAUAAAAUCACAAUUUGUCCUUCUUCUUGGUGUAAAUGUAACAGGGCUUAACUGUACAAACAAAUAAGCCUAAAU
rnacentral:lncRNA from 1 species